CAGGGCCACCAGCAGACUUACCAUGGGGAGGGAGAGGCCUAGGAUCCCAAGGACCAACGUUCCUGUGGGAAAUUGAACCCAGCACCUUGGACCUGGAGCCUCCUGUGUAUGCACAGCCAGUGGUCAUGGAGUCUUUGAGUGACAAGAUCCUGAAACUUUGAGGUGGAACCUAGCACCUUCCUGCAAGAACAGCAGUUGGUACCCUUGCACUCUGUGAGCUGUGGCCAGCUGGUUCUCACCUGUUUUGCUUCAGCCAGUGUUUUCUUGCUCCCUUCUUUUGCUUAUUUUCACAUUAAAGUCUC